rnacentral:rRNA from 1 species
GACAGAGGGUGCAAACGUUGUUCGGAAUUACUGGGCGUAAAGCGCGUGUAGGCGGCUCUGUAAGUCGGGUGUGAAAUCCCACGGCUCAACCGUGGAAGUGCACUCGAAACUACAGGGCUAGAGUCCUGGAGAGGAAGGUGGAAUGCUUGGUGUAGAGGUGAAAUUCGUAGAUAUCAAGCAGAACACCUGCGGCGAAGGCGGCCUUCUGGACGAUGACUGACGCUGAGACGCGAAAGCGUGGGGAGCAAACAGG